UAAUAGUGUAUAUUAAAGUUGUUGCAGUUAAAAAGCUCGUAGUUGAAUGUUGGUGUCGAACGAGCGGUCAGCUUCGGCUGUACUGCUCUCUCGACUCCUUCCUUCUGUGGACUACGUCGCACUUUACUGUGUGGCGCUAGGACACAGAUCGUUUACUGUGAAAAAAUUAGAGUGUUCAAAGCAGGCCGUACGCUUGAAUACAUUAGCAUGGAAUAAUGGAAUAGGACGUCGGGCCUAUUUUGUUGGUUCUAGGACCGUCGUAAUGAUUAAUAGGGACAGUUGGGGCCGUUUAUAUUCCGUAGUCAGAGGUGAAAUUCUUGGAUUUACGGAAGAUAAACUACUGCGAAAGCAUUCGGCAAGGAUGUUUUCGUUAA
rnacentral:rRNA from 1 species